rnacentral:rRNA from 1 species
AUUGAACGCUGGCGGCAGGCCUAACACAUGCAAGUCGAGCGAGCGGCGGACGGGUGAGUAAUGUAUGGGAAACUGCCUGAUGGAGGGGGAUAACUCCUGGAAACGGUAGCUAAUACCGCAUACUAUCAGAUGUGCUCAGAUGGGAUUAGCUAGUAGGUGGGGUAACUGCUCACCUAGGCGACGAUCCCUAGCUGGUCUGAGAGGAUGACCAGCCACACUGGAACUGAGACACGUUCCAGACUCCUACGGGAGGCAGCAGUGGGGAAUAUUGCACAAUGGUCGCAAGCCUGAUGGAGCCAUGCAGCGUGUGGGAAGAAGGCCUUCGGGUUGUAAAGCACUUUCAGCGGGGAGGCGUUACCCUCAGAAGAAUCACCGGCUAACUCCGUGCCAGCAGCCGCGGUAAUUC